AAAACGUGGCCAUAUCUGGCUAAUCACAAAAUACUAUAAUCUCUAUUAUUUCUGAAUCACCUAACAUAAAAUUAUGUAUUCCACUCAUCCACCAAUCAUAACACACACGGGGCACCACGUGGGGCUGUCCUAGACCACCAAAUAACUUCUCAAUGUUGAACACUUCAGAACUUGUGGGUUGAGCAAGAGGUCUAGAGGUAAGAUGUACUCGGAGGGUUGAUUCUUGAGUUUUUCUACUUCUUCCGUUACGACCUUUGUCUCUUUGUCGAAUUCAGCAGUCCUGGGAUCGACCUUUAACUCUUUCUGUGUCUCUUUUCCCAAUUCAACGACUGGUUCCUCCCCUAGUGCAGGUUGCUCCACGUGUCCUGAAUAAGGUUGGAGUCGAACAGGAGACAAUCACAUGGGGUAGUGGGGUCCAUUAUGCUUUCAUUCUGUUGAUGAGAUUAUGAUACUCUUCAUCAGUUUCUGAUGGAGGGGAAUCGGGAUCUUGGUUGUACUGCUCAUUCCGAAAAUAUUCUAAAUCAUCCGCGGUCAUGGCUAGUUCUAAUGGACGAUCCAAAUUAUUUCUCUUUUUGAGAUUUAAUAACAUGUCAAGAGUCUCAUUAAUUUGUGUAGGAGACCUUUGAUAUAUUAUGGAAAAAUGAGUUACAAAUAGUAUUCUACCAUCUGUGAUCAUAAA